rnacentral:tRNA from 1 species
AAAGGAGACCUCACUCCUCCCUAAGACU